UACGUAGGGGGCAAGCGUUGUCCGGAUUUAUUGGGCGUAAAGAGCGUGUAGGCGGCCAUACAGGUCAGCUGUGAAAACUCGAGGCUCAACCUCGAGACGUCGGUUGAAACCGUAUGGCUAGAGGCCGGAAGAGGAGAGUGGAAUUCCCGGUGUAGCGGUGAAAUGCGCAGAUAUCGGGAAGAACACCCGUGGCGAAGGCGGCUCUCUGGGACGGUACUGACGCUGAGACGCGAAAGCGUGGGGAGCGAACAGG
rnacentral:rRNA from 1 species